rnacentral:rRNA from 1 species
GUGGAUUAGAUACCCUGGUAGUCCAUGCCGUAAACGAUGAACACUAGGUUUUGGGCUCGUCAACGGUCCAGAGCCGCAGCUAACGCGUUAAGUGUUCCGCCUGGGGAAUACGGUCGCAAGACUGAAACUCAAAGGAAUUGACGGGGGCCCGCACAAGCGGUGGAGCAUGUGGUUUAAUUCGACGCAACGCGCAGAACCUUACCAGGACUUGACAUGGAAGUGACCGGACGAGAGAUCGUUCUUCUCCCGCAAGGGAGCACUUCACACAGGUGCUGCACGGCCGUCGUCAACU